UACGUAGGUGGCGAGCGUUGUCCGGAUUUACUGGGCGUAAAGGGUGCGUAGGUGGUUUCUUAAGUCAGAGGUAAAAGGCAGUGGCUCAACCAUUGUAUGCAUUGGAAACUGGUAGACUUGAGUGCAGGAGAGGAGAGUGGAAUUCCAUGUGUAGCGGUGAAAUGCGUAGAUAUAUGGAGGAACACCGGUGGCGAAAGCGGCUCUCUGGCCUGUAACUGACACUGAGGCUCGGAAGCGUGGGGAGCAAACAGG
rnacentral:rRNA from 1 species